rnacentral:rRNA from 1 species
UACGUAGGGUGCAAGCGUUAAUCGGAAUUACUGGGCGUAAAGCGUGCGCAGGCGGUUUUGUAAGUCUGUUGUGAAAUCCCCGGGCUCAACCUGGGAAUGGCAAUGGAGACUGCAAGGCUAGAGUUUGGCAGAGGGGGGUAGAAUUCCACGUGUAGCAGUGAAAUGCGUAGAUAUGAUGGAGGAACACCGAUGGCGAAGGCAGCCCCCUGGGUCAAAACUGACGCUCAUGCACAAAGCGUGGGGAGCAAACAGG